rnacentral:rRNA from 1 species
AGAGAGAGACAUGCGCGCAUAUCAAUAAGCGGAGGAAAAGAAACUAACAAGGAUUCCCCUAGUAACGGCGAGUGAAGCGGGAAGAGCUCAAAUUUGAAAUCUUAAAGGGUUUCCCUUUACGAAUUGUAGUUUAAAGAAGUGUUUUCUGUUGAGGUUUUGGUAAAAGUUCUUUGGAAUAGGACAUCAUAGAGGGUGAGAAUCCCGUAUUUGACCUUUACUUUCAACUUUGUGAUACACUUUCAAAGAGUCGGAUUGUUUGGGAAUGCAGUCCAAAAUGGGUGGUAAAUUUCAUCUAAAGCUAAAUACUGGCGAGAGACCGAUAGCGAACAAGUACCGUGAAGGGAAAGAUGAAAAGAACUUUGAAAAGAGAGUUAAACAGUACGUGAAAUUGUCAAAAGGGAAGCGUUUGACACCAGUGUUGUUUUUCUGAAAAUCAAUUAAAGAACUGUUUAUGCUAAGCUGUUUAGACUUUAUCAGCUAUCUGUUUAGUUUUGAGCUUUUCUUUAAUGCACUUUUCAGUUAACAAGUCAACAUCAAUUUCUUUUGCUGUAAAAAAGCUUGAGGAAGGUGGCUUGAGAUUCGUCUUAAGUGUUUAUAGCCUCUUGCCUAUGCAGUCGGAGAGAUUGAGGUCUGCAGCGUAGAUCCUUCGGGGUUAGAUACAUUUGUGCUAAGUUAUAGCCUUUCAUAGACAACUUGUUGACUAUGAUCAGUCAUGUAGCUUACUCGCUUAUGCUAUUUUACCUACGCUUAGGAUGUUGAUGUGAUACUGCGAGCA